rnacentral:misc_RNA from 1 species
UGGCACUGCCUCCUGAUGUUGCAGAAUUCCACAUUUGUAAGUAGAUACCAGGAGUUUACAAUGCCAAAAGAAUGGAGUUGAAAGUGUGAAACUCUACUUCUUUUUGAAUGUUACCAUACCAAAGAAUGCCACAAAACGAGUAACCAUGCCGAUGAGGAUGAGAAUGAAUACACAAAGACCCCAGUGAUGGAGAUUAUACCCAGUUUUCAGAAGUGAACCACAACGAGUAAUUAACCACACUCCAUAAUACCUCUCAGCAUUUGCAAUCACAAAUGCUUCCAGAGCCCAUUUUGGGUAGCAUAAAUUAGCUAUGUUCUUCAAGGUAUUACUCUGGUUUGAUUGUGUUGCAAUGAGAGUCAAAACAACUGGAAGAAUAACUGACCACAGUUGGGCCGGACCUGGUUCAAAAAAGAUAGCCAAUGCAUAGGCUAUACCAGUUACACAGUAAAUAAGGCACAGCAGGACAACAUAAUUAUCGGUGAAGGAAGACCUUGGGUUUGUGAAAGAAUAGAACAUAGAGAGAUACAGUACAGGCUUAAUCACUGUAUUAAAAUGAUCAAUUGUAUCCUUGGCAAGAAAGUAAGCCAAGCUGCUGAUGCCAGAUGCGCUCUCUCUCCAGUAUUGUAACUUAUCAAGAGAAAACGAUCUCAAAGCCGCAAUUUUGCAAAGGAGAGAAACUGCAAUAAUGGUAUAUGUGUAACCAGCAGCCCCAAAAG